UAGGGAAUAUUGCACAAUGGGCGAAAGCCUGAUGCAGCAACGCCGCGUGCGCGAAGAAGGUCUUCGGAUCGUAAAGCGCUUUUCUGGGAGAUGAGAAAGGACAGUAUCCCAGGAAUAAGUCUCGGCUAACUACGUGCCAGCAGCCGCGGUAAGACGUAGGGGGCGAGCGUUGUCCGGAUUUACUGGGCGUAAAGAGCGCGUAGGCGGCUAGUUAAGUGAGAAGUGAAAUCUCCAGGGCUCAACCCGGAAACUGCUUUUCAUACUGGCCAGCUGGAGGGACGCAGGGGUGACUGGAAUUCCCGGUGUAGCGGUGAAAUGCAUUGAUAUCGGGAGGAACUCCAACAGCGAAGGCAGGUCACUGGGCGUUUCCUGACGUUGAGGCGCGAAAGCGUGGGUAGCAAACAGGAUUAGAAACCCGGGUAG
rnacentral:rRNA from 1 species